AGAUGAAAGGUGGCCUCUAUKUAUAAGCUAUCACUGAAGGAGGGGAUUGCGUCUGAUUAGCUAGUUGGAGGGGUAACGGCCCACCAAGGCGAUGAUCAGUAGCCGGUCUGAGAGGAUGAACGGCCACAUUGGGACUGAGACACGGCCCAGACUCCUACGGGAGGCAGCAGUGGGGAAUCUUCCGCAAUGGACGAAAGUCUGACGGAGCAACGCCGCGUGAGUGAUGACGGCCUUCGGGUUGUAAAGCUCUGUUAAUCGGGACGAAAGGCCUUCUUGCGAAUAGUUAGGAGGAUUGACGGUACCGGAAUAGAAAGCCACGGCUAACUACGUGCCAG
rnacentral:rRNA from 1 species